rnacentral:rRNA from 1 species
UCCUACGGGGGGCAGCAGUGGGGAAUAUUGCACAAUGGGCGAAAGCCUGAUGCAGCAACGCCGCGUGCAGGAAGAAGGUUUUCGGAUUGUAAACUGCUUUAGACAGGGAAGAAAGAAAUGACGGUACCUGUAGAAUAAGCUCCGGCUAACUACGUGCCAGCAGCCGCGGUAAUACGUAGGGAGCAAGCGUUAUCCGGAUUUAUUGGGUGUAAAGGGUGCGUAGACGGGUAUACAAGUUAGUAGUGAAAUCCCUCGGCUUAACUGAGGAACUGCUACUAAAA